AGAGGAAGCCUGAGGUAUAGCAGACCCAGGCCCCAGAAGGAUGGAAAAAAUGAGGGUUGGACCCAAGAUUCUGUACUUCUAUGGAGCCCUGUGUUCUGCCCAGGUGUCAUUUACUCUCAGAGUCCUGGAAGAAGAAAUGAGCGCUGCUGAGAAAGAUGCUCCACAAGGAGGAAGGAGUCACUAUUUUCAGGAGCA